rnacentral:rRNA from 1 species
GUCCACGCUGUAAACGAUGUCUACUAGCCGUUGGGAGACUUGAUUUCUUAGUGGCGCAGCUAACGCUUUAAGUAGACCGCCUGGGGAGUACGGCCGCAAGGUUAAACUCAAAUGAAUUGACGGGGCCCGCACAAGCGGUGGAGCAUGUGGUUUAAUUCGAUGCAACGCGAAGAACCUUACCAGGUCUUGACAUCCUCGGAACUUGGCAGAGAUGCCUUGGUGCCUUCGGGAACCGAGAGACAGGUGCUGCAUGGCUGUCGU